UCGGAUAUGGUGUAACGGCUAACAUUAGCGCCUCUCACUGAAGUCGCGCUAGCUCGGGGUUCGAUUCCCCGUAUCCGAA